rnacentral:rRNA from 2 species
ACCCUUUAAUGUUUGAUGUUCUAACGUGGACCCGUGAUCCGGGUUGCGGACAGUGUCUGGUGGGUAGUUUGACUGGGGCGGUCUCCUCCUAAAGAGUAACGGAGGAGCACGAAGGUUGGCUAAUCCUGGUCGGACAUCAGGAGGUUAGUGCAAUGGCAUAAGCCAGCUUGACUGCGAGCGUGACGGCGCGAGCAGGUGCGAAAGCAGGUCAUAGUGAUCCGGUGGUUCUGAAUGGAAGGGCCAUCGCUCAACGGAUAAAAGGUACUCCGGGGAUAACAGGCUGAUACCGCCCAAGAGUUCAUAUCGACGGCGGUGUUUGGCACCUCGAUGUCGGCUCAUCACAUCCUGGGGCUGAAGUAGGUCCCAAGGGUAUGGCUGUUCGCCAUUUAAAGUGGUACGCGAGCUGGGUUUAGAACGUCGUGAGACAGUUCGGUCCCUAUCUGCCGUGGGCGCUGGAGAACUGAGGGGGGCUGCUCCUAGUACGAGAGGACCGGAGUGGACGCAUCACUGGUGUUCGGGUUGUCAUGCCAAUGGCACUGCCCGGUAGCUAAAUGCGGAAGAGAUAAGUGCUGAAAGCAUCUAAGCACGAAACUUGCCCCGAGAUGAGUUCUCCCUGAGACUUAAAGUCUCCUGAAGGAACGUUGAAGACGACGACGUUGAUAGGCCGGGUGUGUAAGCGCAGCGAUGCGUUGAGCUAACCGGUACUAAUGAACCGUGAGGCUUAACCUUACAAC